rnacentral:rRNA from 1 species
UUCGCAAUGCCCGAAAGGGUGACGAAGCGACGCCGCGUGGGUGAGGAAGGCCUUCGGGUUGUAAAGCCCUGUCAGGAGUUAAGAAAUAUAAGUGCGCUAAUAUCGCAUUUAUUUGACGAAGGCUCCAAAGGAAGCCACGGCUAACUCUGUGCCAGCAGCCGCGGUAAUACAGAGGUGGCAAGCGUUGUUCGGAAUUAUUGGGCGUAAAGAGCACGUAGGUGGGUUUGUAAGUCAGAUGUGAAAGCCUUCUGUUCAACGGAAGAACUGCAUCUGAAACUACAAGUCUUGAGUGUAGGAGGGGAGAAUGGAACUUCUGGUGGAGCGGUGAAAUGCGUAGAUAUCAGAAGGAACGCCGGCGGCGAAAGCGAUUCUCUGGCCUAUUACCGACACUCAGUGUGCGAAAGCUAGGGGAGCAAACGGGAUUAGAUACCCCGGUAGUCCUAGCUGUAAACGAUGGGCACUAAGUAGAGGGGUUUU